AUCGGAUUAUAGUCAUGUUAGUCAGCUCACUAGGAAUUGUAUUUGCUUACUCUAGUCAUGCACACCAGUUGUUGCUUCCUUUGCUGUGGAGAUUAGAGCACAGACCAUAGACAUGCAGUGGUUACACUAGCAGCAAUUGAUAAGCAAUGACUCGUGUAAAGAGAUAUGCCUCCAUGAGUGAGCUGAUUACAGUGGUUGUUUUCGAAGUUUGUGAUCUUUGCAGCAUACUAUUUUUGGGUAUACAGUUGGCCGCCAGGAAGGUCACCGCUCAUCAAUCGACCACCACCGACACCAGCAUCAAUCGACCACCCCCCACGGACACCAGCGACACUCACUUCUAUAUAAGGUAUCAAAUUGGGAUAAUAUUGUUUUGGCUUAUGAGCCAUUUUGGGCCAUUGUAACUGGGAAGGUUGCAAUCCCUGCUCAGGCUCAAGAAGUUCAUUGUGAAUUAAGGAAAUGGCUUCAUGACAAUGCUGGUGCUAAAGUUGCUGCAUCAACCAGAAUUAUCUAUGGAGGUUCUGUACAUGGCGCAAAUUGCAAAGAAUUGGCAACACAGCCAGAUGUGGGGAUGGAUUUUUGGUUGGUGGAGGUUCCCUUAAGAUGCUCCCGAGUUGUGCGGGCUUGUUUUGAGGUCUCAUCUGCUGGUAUUGCUUAAAGGAAAGAUGUUUACAAGGCUGAGGGUGAUGACUAGAUCUGAUAUGAUGAGGAGGUUCAAAGCCAUGAUUUUGCCACAGCAGGAUUAGGCAAGGGGCUCAAGCUGGAGGGUUUGGACAUAAAAGAAGAGGAGAUGCAGAUGUAUGUGCAAAGGUAUGUUGAUCUCCAUCCCAUAACUAAUUCCUCCCCGUAUACAGUAGUGGAGACAAUGUCUCUAGCUAAAGCUGCACUUCUCUUUCGAGAGGUUGACCUUAGGCACUUGUUGGUUGUGCCAAAGACACCAGGGGUAACAUCUCCUUCUCUCUCUCUCUCUCUC